CGCGGUAAAACGUAAAGGACAAGUAAUACACAUAAUAGGUAUAAAGAGUUAGCAAUACUGAUCUAUAUAUAAUAAUAAAAUUAUAUAUAUAAAGAUCUAGAAUCUAUAGAUGAGUUAUUAUGAGGUAUAUGAGUAGCGGUUAAAUGUAUAUAUACAUAUAUAACAACCAAUUAAGAAGUAAUAUAACUAAUACAUAGAUUGACGUUGAGUAACGAAACUUAGAGUAUCGAGUAGGAUUAGUCAACCUAUAAGUUCUAAGCGUAAACGAUGUAUACUAAUAUCUAUAUAAUCAUAAAUAAUACUAAUUUAGUAUUAAUAAUAAAAUAUAAUAUGGAUAUAAAGCAAAUGCGUAAGUAUAUCACCAGGGGAGUACUGACUAAUCGAAGAAACCCAAAACAAUAGACGGUUUGAGUGUUAACAGUGGAUUAUGUUAUUUAAU
rnacentral:rRNA from 1 species